rnacentral:rRNA from 1 species
CCUACGGGAGGCAGCAGUGAGGAAUAUUGGUCAAUGGACGAGAGUCUGAACCAGCUAAGUAGCGUGAAGGAUGACUGCCCUAUGGGUUGUAAACUUCUUUUAUAUGGGAAUAAAACAGGGUAUGCAUACCCUCUUGUAUGUACCAUAUGAAUAAGGAUCGGCUCACUCCGUGCCAUCAGCCGCGGUAAUACGGAGGAUCCGAGCGUUAUCCGGAUUUAUUGGGUUUAAAGGGAGCGUAGGUGGAUUGUUAAGUCAGUUGUGAAAGUUUGCGGCUCAACCGUAAAAUUGCAGUUGAAACUGGCAGGCUUGAGUACAGUAGAGGUGGGCGGAAUUCGUGGUGUAGCGGUGAAAUGCUUAGAUAUCACGAAGAACUCCGAUUGCGAAGGCAGCUCACUGGACUGCAACUGACACUGAUGCUCGAAAGUGUGGGUAUCAAACAGGAUUAGAUACCCUGGUAGUC